ACACCCCCUUUUGUUUGUCUCUCUGUUCUCACCCUGAGUAAACAAAAAUUAAAAAAUUCGGGUAUUUUCCUUCAUUCUUCUCUGACGCUCUGGUUUGUGUAAUUUCCCGGCAACGGAGGAGGAAGAGUGUAAGCAAGAAAUUACUCUUCUUCUACGAAACAGAAACAUACCUCUCUCUCCUUCGAUUCUCUUCCUCUUUAGUUUGAUCAAAAGCUUUCUUUUUCUUUUUCUGUUCAUGGUUUCCUCCAUCGCAGUUGGUGACGCCAAAAAGAUGGAGUUAGAAUCCAAGGAAUCACUAUCUGCUGACAUGCCAUCUUUGCUGAGAAGAUCAGCUGAAGCUUUUAAUGGAGGCAGUGAAUAUCGUUCUGCAACUGAUCUAAGCAUAUUCUCUAGUUCAUUGCCUACACUUUUUCAUGAAAAGCUGAAUAUGACCGAUUCAGAUAGCUGGCUCUCACUUGAUGAUAACUCACCCAAUCUGAACAAACUCGUCAUGGGAAACUCAGAGAAGGAUUCUUUGGAAGAUGCCGAACCUCAUUCUUUAGAAAUCUUGCUUCCUGAGGAUGAAAACGAGCUUCUUCCUGGCCUCAUUGAUGAGCUUAAUUUCAGCGGCCUGCCUGAUGAACUUGAAGAUCUUGAUGUAUUUUGCACUGGAGGGGGUAUGGAGCUGGAUGCUGAAUCCCAACGCGAUGCUGCAAGUUCAUUUGUUACUCGUAAACGCUCCAAUACAUCUUUCAGAGUUUCAGUGGAGCAUCCAAACGGUGAACAUCCUUCAAGGACAUUGUUUGUGAGGAAUAUCAACAGCAGUAUCGAUGAUUCAGAGUUAACCGCUCUCUUUGAGCCGUUUGGGGAGAUCAGGAGUUUGUACACAGCAUGCAAAAGCAGAGGUUUUGUAAUGAUAUCCUACUAUGAUAUCCGAGCUGCUCAUGCCGCAAUGCGUGCACUGCAGAACACUCUCUUAAGAAAAAGGACACUGGACAUUCACUACUCCAUUCCUAAAGAAAAUCCGUCAGAGAAGGAUAUGAAUCAAGGGACUCUUGUGAUUUUUAAUGUGGACUCAACUGUAUCAAAUGAUGAGCUCCUUAAGCUGUUCGGUGCCUAUGGUGAAAUAAGAGAGAUUAGAGAAACCCCAAACAGGAGAUUCCACAGGUUUAUUGAGUACUAUGAUGUUAGAGAUGCAGAGGCAGCUCUAAAAGCACUGAACAGAAGUGAGAUAGGUGGGAAAUGUAUAAAGCUCGAACUUAGCCGUCCUGGAGGAUCCCGUCGAGUCUCGGUCCCGUCAACAAGUCAAGAUAUGGACAGACACGAAGUUUCAAGUUUCCUAGCUUCACAGGUUGCCAAUUCUCCACCAGGUAACUGGCCCAUUGGCAGCCCCUUGAAGGGCUCUCCCACGCAUGCCUUUCCGAGGCCACCCGGUCUAGGAAUCAUCAGGCCGUUUAACCGAGAUAACAUGCCUGGAUUAGCUUCAGUUCUCCCUGGUCAGACCUCCAGCUUUCAUGGAUUUUCGCCAGUCAGUAACGACCAAGGGCUAUUGAAUCAUCCAAACCAAACUAUUCUGAAUAACGCUUUGAUGCACAACGUCUCCUAUGGGCAACCUCAUUCGUUGCCAGAGCAUAUAGGAGGGGGAAUUUCGAACUCCAUGAGUUUUAUAGCUCCACACUCCCCAGGGUUCGGGACUUCAUCUGAUAACCGCUAUCGCUGGGGAAGCCCUCCUCAGCACAUGAAUUACCCUGGUGCGUCAUCUUCAUCAUCAUCACCAACUGAACGUCCUUUUACUGUUAGGCAUGGUUUUCCUUUUGCCGAGAGGCAAGUUUCAUUGCUUGGGAAGUACCAGCAUCAUGUGGGCUCUGCUCCUUCAAGCACUCAUUUUAAUGCCCAUAUGAACUGUUACCCGGGAUCACCAGAGACAUCCUCUCUGAUACCCCUAGGAUUUGGGGAUCUAGGAAUCAACAAAAGUUAUAUCAAUCCUCAUGGAAAAGCCAACUUUGGUGUUAGUCUACAAGGAAACCAUAACAAACUGGACUUCUCUGGCUUUGGCAUGUCCUCAUUGCCUUUCGGUGAGAGUAGAGGACAUGAGCCCUUUGCUGAGCAAGGUAGGAUCCAACACAUAGAUGGUGGUCAGUAUCAUAUUGACUUGGAUAUAAUUGCUACUGGAGAUGAUAUUCGGACUACAUUAAUCAUCAAAAACAUCCCAAACAAGUAUACUUACAAGAUGCUGGUGGCUGAAAUUGACGAGAAGCACAAGGGAGACUAUGACUUUCUGUGCUUACCUAUAGACUUUAAGAAUAAGUGCAACAUGGGUUAUGCUUUUGUCAACAUGGUCUCUCCAUUGCACAUUGUUCCCUUCCAACAGACCUUCAAUGGUAAGAUAUGGGAAAAAUUCAACAGUGGGAAAGUAGCUUCAUUGGCAUAUGCAGAGAUCCAAGGAAAGUCUGCUCUUGCUUCAUACAUGCAGAAUCCAAGCACUAUGGAGGACGAGAAGCAAUUGUUUCCAGAAGUCUCCCACCACAAUGAUGAGGGUCAAGACUCCAAGGAUCAGUAGCUUUGUUUAUUUAAAGGAUCGACCAGAGAGGCCAUUCUGCAGAGAGGGAGGGAGAGAGAGGACUUCCGGAGUAGUGCGUCGGAAGAAACUUUAGGAUCUAAUCGUGAGAGGAACUUUAGGAGCUGGUUGAACAGAACCGAGCUUGCCAUAUGGCGAACUGGUUGAACAGAACCGAGUUCGUCGUAUGGCGAGCUGGUUCAGACAUGCCGAGCUUUGGCCUUCUUCGGGUGGUUCGGACGUUUGAAAAGCGUUGAGCUCAGAUGGAGAAGAUGUCAACUGCGUUGAUAAAAAGAAGCAACCAGCAUUUGAAAAUAUACUAUUAAAGAAUCACGUACUUCAGGCAUGGCCAUCGGAAAUUCCUAAGCCGAUCGGAACGUUUCAAAAAGACAAAAGACAAAAGACAAACAUUCGAAGCCCAUGUCAGCACUGCUAUGUGCCCUGAAGGCACUGUUUCGAUACGGGCUGGCAAUGAUACUGUGAGCCGUCGUACAGAACCGGACCGGACUAAUUAUACCCCCGGGCAUGAGGUAACGAAUGCUAAAUUAGAACUUAACGACGUGUCAAUCUAAAAGCUUGUAAGGAGUAUGUUAUUAUUAUUAUAUUUUUGUCAAACAGCAUGUUAUUUUUAGCUAAGUAAUUAAUGACUAUUAAAUAUAAAUUGGUAGACAUCUAAGUAAUUUAUAACAGGCUUAAUUUUUUA